rnacentral:rRNA from 1 species
AACGAACGCUGGUGGCGUGCUUAACACAUGCAAGUCGAACGAGAAAGUUUCCUUCGGGAAAUUAGUAAAGUGGCGCAAGGGUGAGUAUCACGUGAAUAAUCUGCCCUCGAGAUCGGGAUAACAUGGUGAAAACUAUGCUAAUACCGGAUAAGACCACAUUUCAUAAGAAAUGCGGUAAAAGGAGUCUCAAUCUUCACUCGAGGAUGAGUUCGCGCAACAUUAGCUUGUUGGUGGGAUAAAGCUCACCAAGGCUACGAUGUUUAGCCGGCCUGAGAGGGUGGAUCGGCCACACUGGAACUGAGACACGGUCCAGACUCCUACGGGAGGCAGCAGUGGGGGAAUAUUGCGCAAUGGGCGAAAGCCUGACGCAGCAACGCCCGUGUGAGCGAUG